rfam:Camelus ferus unplaced genomic scaffold scaffold1003, whole genome shotgun sequence.
GGAGAGUAGAGCUCACUGGUAGAGCACAUGCUUAGCAUGCAUGAGGUCCUGGGUUCAAUCCCCAGUCCCUCCA